UACGUAGGGGGCAAGCGUUGUCCGGAAUCAUUGGGCGUAAAGCGCGUGUAGGCGGCUCGAUAAGUCUGCUGUGAAAGUUCAGGGCUCAACCCUGAAAUGCCGGUGGAAACUGUCGAGCUAGAGUCCGGAAGAGGUGAGUGGAAUUCCUCGUGUAGCGGUGAAAUGCGCAGAUAUCAGGAGGAACACCAAUGGCGAAGGCAGCUCACUGGGACGGUACUGACGCUGAGACGCGAAAGCGUGGGGAGCAAACAGG
rnacentral:rRNA from 1 species